UAAUAUAAUCGGGGAGAGUGCUGACCUAAAGUGGGUUUAUUUUGGAUGGGUGGUCAUGUAAUUCUAGCCAUUGGAUAUAUUUUGGAUGUAAGAAAAAAAACAUUCAAGUCCGGAUAAGAAUAAGAGAAGGAAAUGGAGAAUAAAAAGCCCAGGUCUUUCUGGACGGAACUAUCGCACGCACCAUCCAGGCCGCGCCGCCAAGGGUUUGGGACUUCCACUGCUGCCGUCGCUGGAAUUGCUGCUGGUUGCUGCUCUGCCUUGGUCGCACCUAGUCGCCGCCCCUUGCAUCGCUUGUUGCAGCCUUUGAUUUGGUUGAAUCGCCAGGCAUGUUGCCCCGCCAGCAGCAGUACCAAUGUUCUUCAGAUUCGAUUCUUUGAUCCGUAGUUACAUGCCAUGGAUCGAUUAGUCUGAUGGGUAGGCGUUAGCUAACUAGAAGCUGCAAUGUGAAUGAUGAUCUGACAGCAAAACCUGAAUUGUUUAUCCGAUCCUGGGCAAGUGUAUAAGACGAGAUGGGUCGUUUGGCAGCACUAGCUAGCUAAAGCAACCUAGUACUGCUUCACUAAUUAAAACCAAGAUUUACUAAUUGAUGUGAGGUCACGGCUACAAGAUAUGCAUGGAACUUGGAAGUAAGUGAAUAAAGAUUGUUUUAAACCGCUUUGUUUGAUGUACUUACUACUUAUCAGGAAAAAUAAACUGCAACACUUCUGCACAAUUUAUGGAUAUAAGGGUUCGGAUGAUGAUGCACUUUGCAGAUAAGGAACAUAUAUCAUGUCUACUAUUGGUUCAGAUCGUGGGUUGGGGGUUGCAACUUGCAAACUAUGAGCCUAUACCAGGAUAGGACAGACUUACAUGUACCUGCAAUAUUUGUGAUAAUUAUUACUUUUAGAGUAGUUCUGAUGAUAGGUUUGCCAUAGGUUUGAGAGCAUCAGGUGUCGAGUGUAAUUCUACGAAUUAAAAGUUUGAUUCAAGGCAAGUGCAUUACGAACCUUCUUGUCGCUUUAAUGUUUGAUCGCGUUGUUUUCUGUGCAUCUGGUGUGCUUCGUUGUUAAUUGGUAAUUUGACUCAAUAAUUUCCUCCUAAACUUAUUGGGCCACGGGUUGGUAAAUUCCGAGCCAAUACUGCCGCAGGUUGGCAAACUCCGAGCCAACGCGUUGGUACUAAGUAAACGACAUGCAUGGGGACCCAGGCAUAGCACAUCUACAUUGCUGAGCACAUCACACAUAUUUAGAUAAUAUCAUGCAAACAUCCAUGCUUCUAUUUCUACUAGUCGUACUAUAUUAGUCACUUAAUCCCCAUUACCUUGUGAACAGUUAUGUUUGGCAUCUUCCGAUAUACUCAGACUUUUGUGAAUCCGGUGGUUGUUUCUUUAAAGUUGAAAUGUCACUACAUAUCCUCUUAUUGCUA